GGAAAUCCAUGUUUUGGCAUUCAGGAGAGAGCAGCAGACUAACCAAAAGAAAGACUUUCCAGUGGUCAAUGAGAUUAGUGGUCAAAAUGCUGUGAUUCUGUGUGUGUGAUGAGGGGCAAUCUUUUCAUUUCUCUAUAGCUUAGAUCUCUAUCACUAGGGAGCAAUUAACAUUCUCUUUGGUACUCUGAUAGAAGUGCUAUUUGCUUUUCGGCUGACAUUUUAAGGGCACUCAUACCUUCGCUUUAGAUUUGCACAUGUCUAAAGGCAGCAUCAAAUUCUCAUAUUCUCUCUUCACUUCUUGCAAGCUCCUCUGUAGAGGAGAGCUUGAAGGGAAGAAAAAGAAAAAAGUCACUAACUUGUCUCUUUUUUGCCUUUUUUGUACAGUCAUUUUCAACAAUGGGAACUUUCACAAGGAGUACACACACAAGGGAGCAAGAAGGAAGGAGAAUGCUCUCAGUAUGCCUAUUUCCAGGGGGAAAGAAAAAAACAAACGAAAGCCUACAAAAGACCCCACUGUGAUCCUGGAGGUGCUGGGAUUCCCAGAAACACCUGCAGCAAAGCAGAGUUUGGCCAUUCAUCCUCCAAAGACAUGAACAUGCUGCCACCUCAACCUUCAUGGUAGGAAACAACAUUUCUAAUUUCUUCUCAACUCUGAAGUCAAAGGAUCAGUGGGCAUGAGAAAGCAGAAGAGCACCAGUCCUGAUGUGACUCAGUUUCUCAGGGACUGAGGUACGGUUUGGUAUCUGAUGCCACUGAGACAGAGAAUAAUGUGCCAAGCAUUGAAGCACGUUACAGCAGUUAUGAAAGAUAAGUCACUGCUUAGCAGCUGUAACAGAGCAGUAAGAUCAUGCCAGUGAGCACCAGUUCACUUUAACCAGGUAAUAUUUUCUUUGGAAAAUUAAAGCAUCAAUGGUAAUCUUCUGCUUUGGUGUGCAGAUGGUUUUACCACACUGCACUCACUAUAUGAAAAAGGCCACAUCUUCAAUGUCACUGCUGAUUUUGUGCCCAGUGGUGUUCUGGAGAGCUUUGGUGGGGCAAAGACCUCAGAAUUUUGCUUCAAGUCAAUUGCCCUGCCAAGGGCUACAAACGAGAUGAGUGUGGAGGUCUGUUUAACUCAGUGUCCC
rnacentral:lncRNA from 1 species